GACUGUCCCUCAGUGAGGCACGAUCCUUUGUAAGGAUGAGGUAUCCCUACCCCACAUCAGCACUCGCAAAACCGACUAUUCUGCGUUUUAAAGCAGCUUUUAAGCCUCUGGGUCGGUAAAGUGAAGAAACUUUUCCAUUGCCCUGUCCACCUUUGCCCGAUUCUUUGCUCCUUCCGUUUGUGCCCAGCCUCUCCCGAGGGGAUGUGCCAAGCCUCCCCUCGCCAGGCUGCCGAGGUCGAGGGGUUACAGAUUUACAGCUGCCCGGACUUGCUCCGGCCCGGGCAGGAAUUCACUUGGCAUAAACGAGGCCUUUGGAUUAUUUAUCUCAGCCUUUCAGCUCAACAGGAACAUGCCCUGAUUUUAACAAUCGUGCUUCCUGCGCUGGGGGAAGGUGUGGCCGAUGGCAUUUAAACCCAAAGCCGAGCCAAGGCUUCCCCGGCAGGACCACGAGGGCUUCCUUCAGCACUCAAGGGCCUCCCUCAGGUUAUUUUAUCACCCCCAGCAAUAAUGAUGGGCACGAGGGUGAGAUCUGGGGAGUGUCAGGCUCCAUAUGCUGUCGCUGUUCAGGGCAUGGCAGCAGAAAAUCGCACAGGAGACGCUGGAGAACAGAGGAUGAACCUUUAGGCUUCCUCUGGAGGUCGAGGAAUCGCUCCCUGACCCUUUCGUGGUGCUGAGGGAACUGCCAGUGACAGCCUGGAGGGUCAAUCCCCUCCCUCCCUCCUCAAAAAAUGGUAUUUUCCCCAUCAUCCAGCCCAAAGCAGCUCAGUUGCAAGUCCUGAGAUCUUGUUACAAUGUUCAGCACUGUAAAAACUGUUUAUUUUAUUAAUCAGCACAGUAAACACUCAGAGCCCAGCUGUGAUCAGCCAGGGGGUCACAUCCAGUUUGGGAAGAGAUUCCUGCCCUGCCAUUCCGACGGUGACACCCAUCUCCCCUGUCUCAGACCACGGCCAUGGAUUAUUCUCCAUUAUUCACCAUUAUUUCCCAAGCCUUCUUUCCAGCCCAGGACUUCACACCCUCAUAGGUGGUUCUUACCAAACCACAGCUCUGUCUCCUACAAUCAAAUUCUGUGAGGAAAAGAAAAAUAAAAAAAAACAACAAACUCAAACCAGUAGCAACACAUGGAAAUGGGCUCCAGCGAAACCAGAAAUGCAGCCUAGAUUUUUAUAUGGAAAUAUAUGGAAUAUAUGGAAUGUCAAGGAUGUUUGAACCAGAAAAUGCCAAAUCCUGGCAAAGAGUGUCAGAAAAUGACUUUUAUGUUUUUAGGCCUCUUCACUCAGGUCUGAGGGCUGAAGUUUUCCAUUGCCCCAAGAUUUCUUACACAGUUGAUUGUUCCCCAGAGCAGCACAGCUCUGAGCUCUUGGGAGCCUGAGUGCCACCAGCAAGAACCUAGAGACAGGUAAAGAUAGAAACAUUCCAGGGCUGCUGAUUUUCAAAGCAAAGCAAACCAUCAAAUAAACGCUGCAUUUCCCCUGAAAGCAACCAGAAAGAGUCACUUGAAAUAAAUCAAAGUUGGUUUCACCUUCUUAACGCGCCGCAGGCCUGACAGAAGCGGUGUGAGCCGAAAGCAUCGGUGAACUGCCCCAUUUCUGAGGCUCCCAGCGUUUCAUCUCGCUCUGGAGCUCCGUGGAUCUCCAGGUGGCCUCUGCUGCCUGCACGGCGCGGCGCAAACCGCCGGGGAAAAGUGGGAAGGCGGAAAAUCGGCUCCCGAGAGAACGGGGGGGACUGAAAUCAGCACAGGCAGCUCCGUGUCUCAGCAAAAGCCGGCCUGCUUCGGGGGGAUGACUCAUUUCGGGAGCCUGAGCUCGCUCCCAGUCAUUAAGGAAGGAGUUAAUCCCUGCAGCUUUGGCCACAAAGUGGAUGUGUAAGGCCUGGAGUCCCAUGGGCUCGAUUGCAUAAGAAGCCAUGUAUUGUGGCAUUUAGUUGAUCAUGCACUACUUCUUCUGGUCACAUGGAGGCUUGAUUUCCCCUUGCAUCAGCUACUACAGACUUUUUACAUUUCUGGUCCUGCUAUUUGCUCAGUUCAUCGGGGUCAUCCCCUUCACCCCACAGCAGAGCCUGUGCUGCUCACCCCACCCUGACCCACGGCAUCUCACCCCAUUUUUUGUAGGAUCCUGGAAGAGGAACUUGUAAUUUCUCUCAUUUGUGUCUGUGCGUAACAGGUGUCAUUUUCAGUGUAGUACAGACAAAUCCCAAAAUAGCUCAGGCUCUUCAGACGCUGCGAGGAGAAAAAAAAUUCGUGGUUACUUCAGCUUUGGUUGUAGUGAAAAACCCAACGCCGGCAGCCGGCUCUGGAGUCGGAAUUAAAAUGGCAGACGGAGGAGCGGAGCAGGGCUCUCUCUGCAUUCCCCGUUCCCUGACGGACUGCUCCUCGCUGCUCCGUGUGUGCACAUCAACUCCCUCACACUGCUGCCUCUCCAGCAGCUCCCCUGAUUCCCAGGAGCUGCACCUACCACGGAUCCUCCUCCACACUUCCCGGUGCCGGCAGAGCUCCGCUUCCCCUGCCGGGUGCCGGGGCCGGCCGGAGGCACCGGAGUUAUUCCAGGGAUUUGGGGGGCAGAGGCGAGGAGAGAGCGUGCAGCUGCAAAAGGCUGCCUGCCUGGGGAUGAUGCCUGCUGUGCUGAAAUGCAGAGCUGCCUGUGGACUGUCUCUGUCGGGGAUUAUUGGAUUCUGGGGACUCCAGGAGCGCGGUUAUUAGUUCCCCUGCCCACGCCGAGCGUUUUGAAUCCGUGUGUGUGAUAACACUUAUUAAUGCUGCUCAGAUUAGGAAGAUCCUAUGGCUUUCCAGCACUUUCAGCACCUUAUCUCACACCACGCACCUGCCCAGCAGCUGAACCACGCUCAGAUCAGUGUCCUGUGGCCAGCAGAGCAGGGGCCAGCAGUAGCCCCGUGGCCACAAGUCCUGCAUUUGUUCACAGCAGCAGCUGCCUUGUGCUUCAGGGGACCUGCCUGCUGAGGAUUUGCAGGACCUGGGCCUAAAAUAUUUUAUUUCAGGAAGUCAAGCAGUGGUUCCUGUCACCGAAACAGUUAAUCAGAAAGCACCAACUCUCUACUGCAACGUGUGUGUGUGUGCACGUGUUUUUGUUUUUCAGAGCCAGCAAGAUUUGCUUUGGCUUUUUUAAAGCAGAAAACACCAAAAAAGUUGGCUGUGGUUUCAGCUGCUAUCGCUGGAGAUUUGUACUGCUGACUAGCAAUCCUAAAAGAGUUAACCUGGUAAGUAUGACUCAGAAGCAGAGAAGGAGAUGCGAGGCUGAGAGCCGGGGAGGAAGCGCAGAAACAGAGGUGAGGAACAGAAUAAUUGCCAAAAAAAGGUGCAGAGUCCAGGAGUGACGUUCCCUCCGGUCUGCCUGGCCCUGGCACCGCUGGCACGGGCUCCCUGGAAAGCUGCAGUUCCGCUCUUAUAACACAAGGAGCAGGCUGGAGAAUUUAGAGCUGCGUCACAGAGCUCAGCGAGAGAGUGAGAGAGCAAGCUCCGUCGAUAGGUCUACCAGCAACAGCCCUGCUGCAGCAAGAGGGGAGAGAGGCAGCAAGAGAGGCAGAGAGGGCUCCAGGAAGAGAAGUGGCACCAACACCACGGACUGGGCUCCUGCCACCAUCCACUGCCAUUUGUACCCCGUACUCGGGCUCGCUCGGCGUAGGAGGCUUCGCCCAUUGACGAUGCCGGAGACCCUGCGCGCUUAAUCCCACGGGGAGGGAGAGUGGGCAGAGACGCCGAAAGGGUUAACGGGAAGGAAAUUUCUGGAAGCUUCUCUUCUGCGGCGCUCCAGAGCGAGCGGAGGGCUGAGGACUGCGCAGAUGGUGCACGGGCACGGCUCCUCGGUCCGGUUCGUCUCCCUCACUGACCAGCAAUGAAGAUGGCAGCUCUGCCGGGAAGUGCUGAGGACACAGCCAGCCUUGAGCUUGGUCCUUCUGGCCGAGGAAGCCUCCCGAUUAUGCAGUGGAGUGGUCACCACUUGUACUGUCACACCCCUUGUCCUGCACCUGGCCCUGGGCUGAUUCAUUCCUUCACUGGGAGGAUGAUGCAUCAAGCUCAGAUUCUCAGCAUGUAAAACAGGGAUUAUUUUCUCCAGGGGAGACCAGAGCCUGAUGAACCACAACCUUCACCCCGUGAUGUGAAAAUGGAGGAAAACAUUUAUGAUGCACACUGAGAUCUGUUUUGCUUUCUGUAAAAGCCUUUCUAUACAGAAGGUGUAGGUUGUGAAAAACCAGGUCUGUGGCAUCCAGGCUUGCCUUGCUCCUGCAGACUGAAAGUCUCAGGGUAGAGAGGAAAUUCCCUUUCUCGGGGAAGCCAGGGAUUCCCUUUUUGUCUUUGUCUCCUAUGGAAUGUAUAAAGCAGUGUGAAGUCCAUGAAA